UUGUAUAUAAAUAAUGAAAAAUUGUAGAGGGGAGAGAGAAGAUUUAUGUAUUUAGCAUUUUGCUAAGGGCUAGCUUGUAGCUGGUUCAGGAGAGUGUCUCCUGGUUUUGUUUUAUUUUAAAAGAAUAGAGUAAUUCUAUUUACUGUAUGAGCAUUCUCCAUUUUAUAAUACAAGCUCAAUUCCAUUUCUAUUCGGAUUAUUUACAAUUUUUGUUCUUCACUCUAUCAUUUGGUCCGAAUUGCCGUUGUUUUUUCCUCCAUGCCCAAAACAAGAAUGGAGGGACGAGUUGAUUCGGUAGAGAAGAACGUCACAGACUUACAGCAGUUGGUUUCCGCCAUGAAACUUGAACAAGAGCAAUGUAUGUCUUCUUUUCAAGCAAUACAGGAUUAGCGUUUCUCUCGCAUAGAAUCAUUAAUUUCUUCUAUGGCUCAUGGAAAAUCUACAGUUCAGGAAGUGGACCCUUCUCUUCAUUCUCCUACCCUCGGCACUUCCACUGUUCAUCCAGUCACUCCACCUGCUAUAGUUGACGCUGUUGGAACUUCCACUCUUUAUCCGGCAACCCAACCAGUUGUCGUUGAUGAUUCGUCCCUUGCUAUUAAGAAAGUUGAGCUUCCGAACUUUGAUGGUGUAGAUCCGGUUGCUUGGUUGGCUAUAGCAGAGCAAUACUUCGCCAUUAACAAUACGCGAGAGGAGAUGAAAGUUCAACUUGCCUUGGUUUGCAUGGAAGGACCGUCGUUGCACCGGUUGCAUUGGCUUCGUCUGCGUACACCCAAUCUUUCUUGGUCCCAACUUACUCUGGAACUCCUGCAUCGUUAUGGGGGGAAUAUGCGAAUCAAUCCUUAUGAAUGCUUGUCUACUUUGCGUCAGGAUUCUUCUGUUGAUGCUUAUAUUGAUGCUUUUGUAGCUCUUGUUUCUCAAAUUGAAGGUUUGUCAGACCAACAGUAUUUGAGUUUUUUCCUUAGUGGUUUACGUGAUGAUAUUCGAGUGCGCAUUCACUCUCAAGAUUCCACAGAUAUCUUUCGCACUAUGACUCUAGCUCGUGAACUUGAGUUGGAAAAUCAAUUUAUUCUGCAAUCAGCAUCUCAACUGAAGCGAUGGAAUGACAGUGGUAUUCGUUGGUCUCCUCCAGGGUUUGGACCUAAAAUUGAUAUGGGUAAACAAAGUUAUGAGGCUUCUGUUGUUACUAAAACUCAGCCCAUUUCUAGUGUUUCUAAAUUACAAGAGUUGCCAGUACAAAAAUCUCCAGACCACAACUCUUCUGGUCCAUCUAAGCUUUCCCUUCCUUCCACAACAACGACACCACCUCGCCCAUCUUCCACCUUCUCUCGUAACCGAGGCACCCGACACUACACCCACCAAGAAUUCCUAGAAUUGCGAGCUAAGGGACUCUGCUAUAAAUGUAAGCAGCCCUUCCACUCCAUGCAUGAGUGCCCAAACAAGUCUUUGAGAGCUUUAAUUAUUGGCGAUGAUGAAGAGAAACCACCAGAUCCUGAUUUGGGUUUAUCAGAACUUGACCCUCCUCAGAUUGAAGUGAUUAAUGAGGCUCAUUUCAACACUAUGGACCUUCCAUUUUAUUCUAUUGGCGGCAUUUCAUCACCAAAAACCUUGAAGCUCCAGGGCAAAAUGCAUGGUACUGAUGUCACGGUUCUUAUCGAUAGUGGAGCCAGCCACAAUUUCAUUUCAGGUAAUCUCUCUUCCAAACUCAAUUUAACGGUUGAAUCAACGCCCUCUUUUGGUGUUCGAUUGGGUGAUGGCCAUAGGGUUCAAUCAAUGGGUGUUUGUCGACAACUUCAACUCGAUUUGGGAAAUCUGGAAGUUAAAGCAGAUUGUUAUCUAUUUCCGUUGGGGAGUGUCGACAUUAUUCUUGGAGUAGCAUGGCUUGAAACUUUGGGAGACGUUCGAAUCAAUUGGGCCACUAUGCAAAUGUCUUUUUCUUAACAUGAAGUUAUUACUCUCUCGGGCAACCCUUCUCUUACAAGAUCUGCGGCAACUGUUUCUCAAUUGCACAAAAUUAUUGAUGUUGAUUAUUCAGUAUAUUUAUGGCAAUUAUCUAAUGUAGCAGCUACUUAUGAAUUUGAAAAUGAAAUCUCUCCAUCUCAACAAAAUCAAUUGCUGUUACUUCUGAAUAAAUUUCAGCAUGUUUUUGGUGAUAUUGAAUCUCUACCCCCCCAUAGGCAGCAUGAUCAUAUUAUUUCUUUGGUUGCUGGCACCACUGCAGUGAAUGUUAAACCAUACCGAUAUAGUCAUUUUCAAAAGGAUGAGAUAGAGAAGUUAGUGCGGGAAAUGCUUGCUGCAGGAAUUAUCAGGCCCAGUUCUAGCCCUUUUUCGAGUCCGGUUCUAUUGGUACGAAAGAAAGAUGGCAGUUGGCGUUUUUGUGUGGACUAUCGGGCUCUAAAUAAAGCUACCAUUCCGAAUAAAUACCCCAUUCCGGUGAUUAGCGAAAUGUUAGAUGAGCUAAACGGGGCCAAAUAUUUUUCAAAGCUGGAUCUUAAAUCGGGUUACCAUCAAAUUCGGGUAGCCGAGGAGCACAUUCCAAAGACUGCUUUCAGGACUCACUCUGGCCAUUAUGAGUUUGUGGUAAUGCCCUUAGGAUUAACGAACACUCCAGCAACUUUUCAGGCUACCAUGAAUGACUUAUUCCGCUCAUACUUGCGCAAGUUUAUUUUGGUUUUCUUUGACGACAUCUUAGUAUAUAGUUCAAGUUGGGAGGAACACCUAUGACAUUUGCAAAUUGUAUUUUAGCUUUUGUCUACAAACCAGUUUCGGGUCAAUAAGAAGACAAGUUCUUUUGGGAGAACAAUGGUUGAAUAUUUGGGGCAUAUAGUUUCAGCACAAGGUGUCGCAAUGGAUCUUGCAAAAGUAACUAGUGUGUUCAAUUGGCCGCAACCGCAAACAUUGAAGGCAGUGUGGGGAUUUCUAGGGUUAACUUGCUAUUAUAAACGGUUCAUAAAGGAUUAUGGCUUGAUCGCACAGCCUCUUACCCAAUUACUUAAGAAAGAAUCUCAGGGAAAAUUAUAGUGGGCACCUCAAGCUCAAGAAGUUUUUCUUUCUUUGAAAAAUGCUCUUGUUUCUUCUCCGGUUUUGGCUACUCCGGAUUUUUCUAAAACAUUUGUUUUAGAAUGCGAUGCUUCUGGAAAAGGUUUAG
rnacentral:misc_RNA from 1 species